UUUGAAAGCUGGCUCCUUCGGGGUCCGCAUUGUAAUUUGCAGAGGAUGCUUCGGAAUCGGCCCCCAUCUAAGUGCCCUGGAACGGGCCGUCAUAGAGGGUGAGAAUCCCGUCUGGGAUGGGGUGUCCGUGCCCGUGUGAAGCUCCUUCGACGAGUCGAGUUGUUUGGGAAUGCAGCUCUAAUUGGGUGGUAAAUUUCAUCUAAAGCUAAAUAUUGGCCGGAGACCGAUAGCGCACAAGUAGAGUGAUCGAAAGAUGAAAAGCACUUUGAAAAGAGAGUUAAAAAGCACGUGAAAUUGUUGAAAGGGAAGCGCUUGCGACCAGACUCGCCCGCGGGGUUCAGCCGGCAUUCGUGCCGGUGUACUUCCCCGCGGGCGGGCCAGCGUCGGUUUGGGCGGCCGGUCAAAGGCCCCUGGAAUGUAACGCCUCUCGGGGCGUCUUAUAGCCAGGGGUGCCAUGCGGCCUGCCCGGACCGAGGAACGCGCUUCGGCUCGGACGCUGGCAUAAUGGUCGUAAGCGACCCGUCUUGAAACACGGACCAAGGAGUCUAACAUCUACGCGAGUGUUCGGGUGUCAAACCCGUGCGCGCAGUGAAAGCGAACGGAGGUGGGAACCCCCCGGGGUGCACCAUCGACCGAUCCUGAUGUCUUCGGAUGGAUUUGAGUAAGAGCGUAGCUGUUGGGACCCGAAAGAUGGUGAACUAUGCCUGAAUAGGGCGAAGCCAGAGGAAACUCUGGUGGAGGCUCGCAGCGGUUCUGACGUGCAAAUCGAUCGUCAAAUUUGGGUAUAGGGGCGAAAGACUAAUCGAACCAU
rnacentral:rRNA from 1 species